rnacentral:rRNA from 1 species
AUUGAACGCUGGCGGAAUGCUUUACACAUGCAAGUCGAACGGCAGCACGGGGGCAACCCUGGUGGCGAGUGGCGAACGGGUGAGUAAUACAUCGGAACGUGCCCAGUCGUGGGGGAUAACGUAGCGAAAGUUACGCUAAUACCGCAUACGAUCUACGGAUGAAAGCGGGGGACCAUAAGGCCUCGCGCGAUUGGAGCGGCCGAUGUCAGAUUAGGUAGUUGGUGAGGUAAAGGCUCACCAAGCCGACGAUCUGUAGCUGGUCUGAGAGGACGACCCGCCACACUGGGACUGAGACACGGCCCAGACUCCUACGGGAGGCAGCAGUGGGGAAUUUUGGACAAUGGGCGCAAGCCUGAUCCAGCCAUUCCGCGUGCAGGACGAAGGCCUUCGGGUUGUAAACUGCUUUUGUACGGAACGAAAAGGCUCUGGUUAAUACCUGGGGCUCAUGACGGUACCGUAAGAAUAAGCACCGGCUAACUACGUGCCAGCCGCCGCAGUAA